CGGGGUGUGGUUUAACGGUAGAAUUCGCCGAUGGGGUCGGUGAGACAGCAGUUCAAUUCUGCUCACCCCGA
rnacentral:tRNA from 1 species